rnacentral:sRNA from 1 species
CGACAACGGAAAGGAGGUGGUCGAAUGUCUCAUUGUCCAACGCCGACUGCGGCGACUGAGGUGAGCAUGGCCUCCACCGCGGGGGUCCGGCUCGUCUGAGUUGGCCGCGAAGGCAAGACAAUGGAAGGGCAGUCCCGUAAGGGGCGGCCUU